GGGAGCCAGUUUGCUCCCAUAUGUGCUAUUUCUCUCUCCCUUCCCCUAGUUCUUUACAGAAAGCUCGCUGGCAUCCGGCCCAAGCUGCUGGGCAGGAAGGGUUCCUCCUUGCCCUGUGUCGCUGCCUGGGGCUCGGUUCUUGUGGCUUAAGUUUCCAAAUGAACCCUACAGCGAAGAAACCUAUUGACAAACGUGUUGGGUUUUACUGAGGAGGCUCUUUUGAGCCUGGAUUAGCCGAGCUCAGGAGCUCCAGGCAUGCGUGAGAGAACGGCCUCCAUGGCCAGCUCAGCUCUCGGGCCUGUGGGGUGGCAUCUUGAUGACAGGGGACUUUAAUUGCUUUCUGCUUUGCUGAUACAAGCUAUUGGCCAUUAUGGGGCCGAGGUUCUGCUUUACAUCGCAGGCACAAAGCAUUUUGAUUAUUCUACAGUUGUUUUGGGGUGGGGGGGGGUGUGUGUUUCAUUUUUGUAACUUAUUCCUGUGUCUUACUCUACAUUUCCUCACAGGGUUUCUCAGGUGGGACGGUAUCUUUGAUGCUCAGAUGCUGUCGUGAUGCUGUGCUCACACAGCUUCCUGUGCCUGCUGAAAUCCUGAAUUGCUGCGUUUUGAGCUUGGCAACUCCUGAGGAAGCUGCAUUUGUGCUGGAAUAGCCACUUCCACUGAUGCAGUUCGAACCAGGGAAGCCAAUGUGUAUUUUGCAGCUUAGCAAUUACACACUUUCAAAUGCACAGCUUGGCCUUUCUGGCUGACAUUAAGAGCUCUUGAGCAUUUUAUUGCUGCUUGCUCUGUGUUCUGCCUGGGAGCUGUAGGUGCUUUAAUGCUGCAGUGACAACCUGCAUCCAUUCGUGUGUAUUAGGAAAACUAUAAGCCAGUUCACAGAGUCAUUGGGAAGUCUCCAGCUCCUCAACCUUCAUCAAAAGCACCUCCUAAAGAAUGAUUUGUUUUCAAAGCUCAAGUGCUCGCUUCUGCCCCCAAUAAAUACUUGCUUUCAAUGCUGGGGAGAGGAAAUGGGGUAGAAGAGUGGUGGGUCCAGACAGAGGUGGUUUUGUUCUUUGCUCAUCACGAACAAGGUGAUCUCGGCUGAGGAGCAAAUGGUCCUGCCCGUUGUCACUGUGGCUGCUGGCACCUCUCCUGAGUCGAAAGCUCGACUUUGGCUUCAGUAGCUGUGCGUUUACAUGGCCUUUCCAAGGCUCUCUCCCCAAGAAUGUUGUAUUUGAAUGGCAAAACUGUAAUUUUCAAGUCUCAGCAGACUCGAUCCCAUCUCGGUCUGUGUCCUCAGCGUCAAAUGAGGUUGUCGGGAGGCCUUAAAUUGCAGAUGGAAAUUGUGUUGCAGGGAAGACGGUGUUUUAAUUCCGUAAGUAAUAGAUGUGA